rnacentral:tRNA from 1 species
GGUGAGUGUCCGAGAGGCUGAAGGAGCACGCCUGGAAAGUGUGUAUACGGCAACGUAUCGAGGGUUCGAAUCCCCCUCACCGCCA